CGUAGGCACCAAGCGUUGUCCGGAUUUAUUGGGCGUAAAGAGCUCGUAGGCGGUUCAGUUAGUUGGGUGUGAAAACUCCGGGCUUAACCCGGAGCCGCCACCCAAUACUGCUGUGACUAGAGUUCGGUAGGGGAGCGGGGAAUUCCUAGUGUAGCGGUGAAAUGCGCAGAUAUUAGGAGGAACACCGGUGGCGAAGGCGCCGCUCUGGGCCGAAACUGACGCUGAGGAGCGAAAGCAUGGGUAGCAAACAGGAUUAGAUACCCUGGUAGUCCAUGCCGUAAACGUUGGGCACUAGGUGUGGGCUUCAUCCAACGAAGUCCGCGCCGUCGCUAACGCAUUAAGUGCCCCGCCUGGGGAGUACGGUCGCAAGACUA
rnacentral:rRNA from 1 species